rnacentral:rRNA from 1 species
AACUUUCAACAACGGAUCUCUUGGUUCCGGCAUCGAUGAAGAACGCAGCGAAAUGCGAUAAAUAAUGUGAAUUGCAGAAUUCAGUGAAUCAUCGAGUCUUUGAACGCACAUUGCGCCCCCUGGUAUUCCGGGGGGCAUGCCUGUCCGAGCGUCAUU